rnacentral:rRNA from 1 species
AGCGGCGGACGGGUGAGUAACGCGUGGGUAACCUGCCUCAUACACAUGGAUAACAUACCGAAAGGUAUGCUAAUACAAGAUGAUAUAAGAGAUUCGCAUGGAUUUCUUAUCAAAGCUUCGGCGGUAUGAGAUGGACCCGCGUCUGAUUAGCUAGUUGGUAAGGUGACGGCUUACCAAGGCGACGAUCAGUAGCCGACCUGAGAGGGUGAUCGGCCACAUUGGAACUGAGACACGGUCCAAACUCCUACGGGAGGCAGCAGUGGGGAAUAUUGCACAAUGGGCGAAAGCCUGAUGCAGCAACGCCGCGUGAGCGAUGAAGGCCUUCGGGUCGUAAAGCUCUGUCCUCAAGGAAGAUAAUGACGGUACUUGAGGAGGAAGCCCCGGCUAACUACGUGCCAGCAGCAGCGGUAAUACGUAGGGGGCUAGCGUUAUCCGGAUUUACUGGGCGUAAAGGGUGCGUAGGUGGUUUCUUAAGUCAGGAGUGAAAGGCUACGGCUCAACCGUAGUAAGCUCUUGAAACAGGGAAACUUGAGUGCAGGAGAGGAAAGUGGAAUUCCUAGUGUAGCGGUGAAGUGCGUAGAUAUCAGGAGGAACACCAGUAGCGAAGGCGGCUUUCUGGACUGUAACUGACACUGAGGCACGAAAGCGUGGGGAGCAAACAGGAUUAGAUACCCUGGUAGUCCACGCCGUAAACGAUGAGUACUAGUGU